AAAGCUCUCACGUUUCCUUAAACAAGACGGGUUUUCCUUCUAGACUGGUUUUGUAGUUGGGCUUGUCUUUAGGGGAUUGUUUCUGUCCAGGAUUGAAGGGUUUUUCCGCUUCCAUCCUCCACGCUCCAGCCCGGCCCAGCUGCCCCGAGGUUAGAGAGCUGAGGACCGCCUACGGCAGGCCAAGGGGGCGGGAUCAGCCCAGCCCUCGGAGGCAAACUCAGCCCAGGGAGCGCGGAGCCCCCAGGCCAGCUGGGGGGCACAUAUGGCAGUGUCACCGGCUCCUCACCUGUGUCCACAGGUAUCCAGGCUCCGGAGCUUUCUCACGGUGAAGGUGAUUGAGUGAGCCGCCGAGCGGUGGGGACAGAAAUCUUUGAGUGAGGAGCACUGUUCCAACAUGGUAUUGAAAUCAUUCGUCUGGAGUAAAACGCUGGCCUCUUUCUGGGCACGGCAGGGCCUAGAGCGACAGGACCUGCACUCUCUGAGACCGCCCUUGGUUCUCAGAAAGUGCGGGGCCGGGGGCCCCAUCACCGGGAGGGGUGCUGCCCUGAAAUGCUCUUUGCAGAAAGUUUCAGCCGUAACAAAUGAGCACGCACCGCGCACCAGAUCGCGGACUCCGGGAUGGUGCCUGGAGGUGAGCAGAUCUUCCUUCGCCGCACAAGCUGGAACAGACACACGGCACCUCCGAGGACAUGCAUGAACUGAGCGAAACGUCAUCGUGGGAUGGCAGCGUCUUGCUCCUGCACGCGGCACACACACCGCAAGGACUGAGGACUUUCUUUGAAACACCGCUUUUGAGUUCUGAACCACUGUGUUGAACAGAACGCCCACUUCCCGCCUCCCCUUCCCCCAGUCUCUGGCCCAUGCUGGCCGCAUCUCACACAGAUGCCCUUCCCUCUUCCACCAUCUGCGAGGCCCUCCGCCUUCAGUCUGUCUCACGUCCCAGUUCUGUGAAGAGGCAAUGAUGCCUCUUACGGCGACGAGGGAUGCUGCUGAGGAACAGAGAGUGGAAGCCACAUUGCUUACAAAAGAAACAAAACCGAAGCCAAGGCAUGGAUCAGAGUCCCCAGCAAGCAGGAGCUGCUGUGUAGUCACCACAUGCCACUCCCCUCAUUAUUAGCCACCACUUGGAUUCACGGAGACAACUUCCCUCUCUCCAUUGCAAACUUUCAUCUUGUUUUUUCUUUUCUUUUUAUUUAAAUCAAUAACAAAAUCUUCUGUUCAUUGCUUACCAAUGAACACACAAAAAGCUUCCCUUUGUCUAGACUAUCGCCUGUCUGAAUUUCUGAACCGUCAGCCUCCUGUGUCCCUGCAGGGCUCCAGUUCCAGCCUCUGUUUCAGAGCCACUUUGCUCAGUGUCUGCAGGCUGGAAGGGCGUGUUUGAACUCUCUGCCAGGAUAGGUUAGCUACUUCCCCUUGACUUUAUUUUAUUUAUUUUUAAAACUACUUUAUUAAAAUAUGAUUGUCAUAUAAAAAGUUGUAGAUAUUUAAUGUAUAAAAUGUGAUGUGUUUGGGAUAAGUGCACGGCUAUGAAACCCUCAACACAAUCAAGGCCAUAACCUACCUUUCAC
rnacentral:lncRNA from 1 species